rnacentral:rRNA from 1 species
GAUGAACGCUGGCGGCGUGCUUAACACAUGCAAGUCGAACGAGAAGUGAAGACGGAAACCUUCGGGCGGAAGGCUUUAUUUCGAUUGGCGGACGGGUGAUUAACGCGUGGGUAACCUGCCUCAUACAGGGGGAUAACAGUCGGAAACGACUGUUAAUACCGCAUAAGACCACAGCACCGCAUGGUGCGGGGUUAAAAACUCCGGUGGUAUGAGAUGGACCCGCGUUCGAUUAGCCAGUUGGCGGGGUAACGGCCCACCAAAGCGACGAUCGAUAGCCGAACUGAGAGGAUGACCGGCAACAUUGGGACUGAGACACGGACCGAACUCCUACGGGAGGCAGAAGUGGGGAAUGUGGAACGCUGGGGGAGAGACUGAGGCAGCGGGGCCGCGUGAGUGAAGAAGUAUUGAGGUAUGUAAAGCUAUGUCAGCAGGGAAGAAAAGGAGGGUACCUGAGAAGAAGCCCCGGCUAACUACGUG